GACGAACGCUGGCGGCGUGCUUAACACAUGCAAGUCGAGCGGUAAGGCCCUUUCGGGGGUACACGAGCGGCGAACGGGUGAGUAACACGCGGGUGACCUGCCCUCAGCUCUGGGAUGAGCCUGGGAAACCGGGUCUAAUACUGGAUAUGACUCCAUGACGCAUGUUGGUGGGGUAGGAAAGCCUUGUGCGGCUGAGGAGUCGGGCCCG
rnacentral:rRNA from 1 species